rnacentral:tRNA from 1 species
CCGCGGUCACCGCGCUGAACGCCAGCCGCAGGGCGUUCUCGCCGCCCUCCAGCAGGAAGUCCGAACCCUUCACCACGGCC